GACCUCGAAUCAGGUAGGGAUACCCGCUGAACUUAAGCAUAUCAAUAAGCGGAGGAAA
rnacentral:rRNA from 1 species